UACGGAGGGUGCAAGCGUUAUCCGGAUUCACUGGGUUUAAAGGGUGCGUAGGCGGGUUGGUAAGUCAGUGGUGAAAUCUUCAAGCUUAACUUGGAACUGCCGUUGAUACUAUCAAUCUUGAAUGUUGUGGAGGUAAGCGGAAUAUGUCAUGUAGCGGUGAAAUGCUUAGAUAUGACAUAGAACACCGAUAGCGAAGGCAGCUUGCUACACAAAAAUUGACGCUGAGGCACGAAAGCGUGGGAAUCAAACAGG
rnacentral:rRNA from 1 species